UACGUAGGGGGCGAGCGUUGUCCGGAUUUAUUGGGCGUAAAGAGCGUGUAGGCGGCCAGGUGGGUCUGCUGUGAAAACUCGAGGCUCAACCUCGAGACGUCGGCGGAAACCAUCUGGCUAGAGUCCGGAAGAGGAAAGUGGAAUUCCCGGUGUAGCGGUGAAAUGCGCAGAUAUCGGGAAGAACACCCGUGGCGAAGGCGGCUUUCUGGGACGGUACUGACGCUGAGACGCGAAAGCGUGGGGAGCGAACAGG
rnacentral:rRNA from 1 species